CACGGGGUCACAAAAAGUUGGAGAUUACUGAGCAACUGAACAGCAACAUGUCUCUCCCUAGGGAGGCUCUCUGACCUAGCCUUGACCAAGUCUAGGUCCACCCCCGUCACUACCAAAUGACCUCUUCUGCACUCUUCAGUCAUUGGACAGCCUUUUGAACAAAGAAGGUGGUCUGGGCCCACCCAGGAGGAGCUCGCUGGCCCCCAGAGGAAUAGGCAUCUAUUGGGAAAAGACUGACUCUUUGUCAAGCUCCGGUUUGCACAGGAUGACUGCCUGCCUGGUUGUGCAGCCACAUCACUUUCCCUUCAAGAACUUAAGUCUGAGA